AGCGGUUGCAUAUUAACCUCCACUAGCUAUUACUAGGAGAGUUGCUCGCAUGCUCUCCCGUGGAGCUGUUUUCUACAGUAGAGUAAGAGUCCAGUGCAGGGCUGGUCUUCUUUAAAUCACAUGAGGAACCAUUUUAAGGCGGAGGCUGCUCGCUCUGUGCUUUCUGUUUCAUUCUUAGACUGCAGCAAUGGCUGACCAAGAGCAAAACAGAAAAGAAGACUUUCUGAAAACUCAACAAGGUUUCAGAGAAAAUGCCUACAAGAUUAUCAUGAAGAUGGAUGACUGGUCUAACAUGGCUCCAGGAAGUAAACACUUAGUGGAUGAGAUUCUUCACAGCAUCUUCUUUUUGGGCAAAAUCAACAAAAUCCCUUUUUCUCCAGAAGAAAUAAUCUCUGAUGGUGAUAUUUUGAAAGCCUUAAAGAACAAAUUUCCCAGACCUUUUCAAUUCUAUCUGACUCAGCUUCCCAGACGGAGUCCGUUCUCCUGUGUGCUCGACAUGAUUGUCCUGCUGAAGAAGUCAGAGAACGAAGAGCAAAUAAAAAAGAGUCUGCAAGAACUCAUCAAAAACCUUGCUCCACUUUUUCUGGUCUCCUCCACCAUCUGCAUUUCCCAGAAAUCCAAAAGCGACCAAAAUUCAAAGAGGUACUACGGAGUCUCCAUGUCCACCAACGGUCCUAACCCGGGAAAAAUUGUGAUUGCUGCCUCCUGUCUUAGCAAAUGGGAUGAAUAUGUAUCUGGUGCAGUGAUGACCUAUUAUCCAAAAAAGGUCAAGAAAGAUUACUUUGAUGGAACCAUUGAAGUACCUGGAAACAUCAGGUGUGAGGCAUUUAAUCUCAGUAAUGAUGAAAAAAUGAACCCUUGCAGAUCAUGUCACAAUUUGUUUGGCUUGAACACAACAGAAACAAAAGAGUGGGAGUAUGGUAACUGUGCUGAACCCGAGAGCCUGAGCAACUUGCUUACAAAUGAGGAAGAAGUUAAAAAUAAAACACAUGUGCACGAACACUCAGCUGAAAACAGGCAGAGAGCUAAGGAAGAGGUUCGUAAGGAUCUUAUGAGUGUGUUGCGAACAAUUCAGUUUAAGACAUGGACAGGAGAAUUUUACACCCCAGAAUCAUAAGGUGCAGAGGUGACCUGAUACAUCUGCUUUGGUCUGAUUCUGAUGAAUAAAUGAUGCUCUGACAGAAUGAGUGUGGAUUUGCUCAAACUGUUUACUCUCCAGCUCCAUAUAAUGUGCUUGUUAGAAAUUAUAUGUAAUAAUAAAAAUCAGGCUUCUACGUUUUAAUGUAAUAUGAAGCAUGCGAGACAGCAAUUAUUGGGAAGAAACACCUUUAUACUGGUCUAUACCCAGGAUGCACAUGAAGUAAAAACAACAAAAUCAUUUUUUCCUUUUAUGAUCCCAUCUAUAACCUCUUUCAUAAGCGCUACACAUGUAGUUAUAAUAGUUGUAGCAGUUAUAGCACUAAUUAUAUUUCUGCAUUGUAAAAUCUAACUUGUUUCAGUUUAAUCCUGUAAAGUCUCAACCAUGAAAUAAUUGACAGAAAACUCAACUGGAGUGCUUAUUGAACCUUCUAACAAAUAAAAUAAAUAAACUGCAUAUGUGAGUUGUUUUGUUUUUUUCCACAUCCAGCAUUUUUGUGCAAUUUAUUGUUUUUAACAUUGUGUGUCUGCAGAUUCUACUGAUGAAUUUAUCAGAGCUGUGACGGGUUUUUAAAUCCAUAACUGCUCAUUCAUUUUAG
ensembl:lncRNA